rnacentral:rRNA from 1 species
UCCGUAGGUGAACCUGCGGAAGGAUCAUUAAUUAUGUUAAAGCGCCUUACCUCUUAGGGUUUCCUCUGGGGUAAGUGAUUGCUUCUACACUGUGAAAAUUUGGCUGAGAGACUCAGACUGGUCAUGGGUAGACCUAUCUGGGGUUUGAUCGAUGCCACUCCUGGUUUCAGGAGCACCCUUCAUAAUAAACCUAGAAAUUCAGUAUUAUAAAGUUUAAUAAAAAACAACUUUUAACAAUGGAUCUCUUGGUUCUCGCAUCGAUGAAGAACGUAGCAAAGUGCGAUAACUAGUGUGAAUUGCAUAUUCAGUGAAUCAUCGAGUCUUUGAACGCAGCUUGCACUCUAUGGUUUUUCUAUAGAGUACGCCUGCUUCAGUAUCAUCACAAACCCACACAUAACAUUUGUUUAUGUGGUAAUGGGUCGCAUCGCUGUUUUAUUACAGUGAGCACCUAAAAUGUGUGUGAUUUUCUGUCUGGCUUGCUAGGCAGGAAUAUUACGCUGGUCUCAGGAUCUUUUUCUUUGGUUCGCCCAGGAAGUAAAGUACAAGAGUAUAAUCCAGCAACUUUCAAACUAUGAUCUGAAGUCAGGUGGGAUUACCCGCUGGRCUUAAGCAUAUCAAUAAGCGGAGGAAAAGA